GACGAACGCUGGCGGCGUGCUUAACACAUGCAAGUCGAACGAUGAGACCUAGCUUGCUAGGUCGAUUAGUGGCGAACGGGUGAGUAACACGUGACUAACCUGCCCCUUUCUCUGGGAUAACGCUCCGAAAGGAGUGCUAAUACCGGAUACUCACACCGAGGCACAUGCCUUGGUGUGGAAAGUUUUUCGGAAAGGGAUGGAGUCGCGGCCUAUCAGCUUGUUGGUGAGGUAACGGCUCACCAUGGCGACGACGGGUAGCCGGCCGGAGAGGGCGACCGGCCACACUGGGACUGAGACACGGCCCAGACUCCUACGGGAGGCAGCAGUGGGGAAUAUUGCACAAUGGGCGCAAGCCUGAUGCAGCGACGCCGCGUGAGGGAUGAAGGUCUUCGGAUUGUAAACCUCUUUCAGUAGGGACGAAGCGAAAGUGACGGUACCUAAAGAAGAAGCACCGGCUAACUACGUGCCAGCAGCCGCCGUAA
rnacentral:rRNA from 1 species